rnacentral:rRNA from 1 species
GGAAGAACAAGUGCGAGAGUAACUGCUCGCACCAUGACGGUACCUAACCAGAAAGCCACGGCUAACUACGUGCCAGCAGCCGCGGUAAUACGUAGGUGGCAAGCGUUGUCCGGAAUUAUUGGGCGUAAAGGGCUCGCAGGCGGUUUCUUAAGUCUGAUGUGAAAGCCCCCGGCUCAACCGGGGAGGGUCAUUGGAAACUGGGAAACUUGAGUGCAGAAGAGGAGAGUGGAAUUCCACGUGUAGCGGUGAAAUGCGUAGAGAUGUGGAGGAACACCAGUGGCGAAGGCGACUCUCUGGUCUGUAACUGACGCUG